rnacentral:rRNA from 1 species
UGGGGAAUUUUGGACAAUGGACGCAAGUCUGAUCCAGCCAUUCCGCGUGCAGGAUGAAGGCCCUCGGGUUGUAAACUGCUUUUGUACGGAACGAAAAGGUUUCCAUUAAUACUGGGAGCUCAUGACGGUACCGUAAGAAUAAGCACCGGCUAACUACGUG